UAGCUAGUUGGUGGGGUAAGGGCCUACCAAGGCGACGAUCGGUAGCUGGUCUGAGAGGAUGAUCAGCCACACCGGAACUGAGACACGGUCCAGACUCCUACGGGAGGCAGCAGUGGGGAAUAUUGGACAAUGGGGGGAACCCUGAUCCAGCAAUGCCGCGUGUGUGAAGAAGGCCUGAGGGUUGUAAAGCACUUUCAGUGGGGAGGAGGUUUAGUUGGUUAAGAGCUGAUUGAAUGGACGUUACCCACAGAAGAAGCACCGGCUAACUCCGUGCCAGCAGCCGCGGUAAUACGGAGGGUGCGAGCGUUAAUCGGAAUUACUGGGCGUAAAGAGUGCGUAGGUGGUUGAUUAAGUUAUCUGUGAAAUUCCUGGGCUUAACCUGGGCUUGUCAGAUAAGACUGAUUGACUCGAGUAUGGGAGAGGGUAGUGGAAUUUCCGGUGUAGCGGUGAAAUGCGUAGAGAUCGGAAGGAACACCAGUGGCGAAGGCGGCUACCUGGCCUGAUACUGACACUGAGGCACGAAAGCGUGGGGAGCAAACAGGAUUAGAUACCCUGGUAGUCCACGCUGUAAACGAUGUCAACUAGCCGUUGGUUAUAUGAAUAUAAUGAGUGGCGA
rnacentral:rRNA from 1 species